rnacentral:misc_RNA from 1 species
GAUGAGAACGUAGCGAAAUGCGAUAAGUAAUGUGAAUUGCAGAAUUCAGUGAAUCAUCGAAUCUUUGAACGCACAUUGCGCCCGCCAGUAUUCUGGCGGGCAUGCCUGUUCGAGCGUCAUUUCAACCAUCAAGCCCCCGGCUUGUGUUGGGGACCUGCGGCUGCCGCAGGCCCUGAAAACCAGUGGCGGGCUCGCUAGUCACUCCGAGCGUAGUAAUACAUCUCGCUCAGGGCGUGCUGCGGGUUCCGGCCGUUAAAAAGCCUUAUUUACCCAAGGUUGACCUCGGAUCAGGUAGGAAGACCCGCUGAACUUAAGCAUAUCAAUAAGCGGAGGA